UUCGGAUUGUAAACCACUGUCACGCGUUAUGAACACCGGGGAGACAACAUCAAUCCGGAUGACAAAGGCGCGAGAGGAAGCCACGGCUAACUCUGUGCCAGCAGCCGCGGUAAGACAGAGGUGGCAAGCGUUGCUCGGAGUUACUGGGCAUAAAGGGCGCGUAGGCGGUCGUGCACGUCGAGGGUGAAAUCCCCGGGCUUAACCCGGGAACUGCCUUUGAUACGGCGCGACUCGAGUGCGGGAGGGGAGAGUGGAACUCCUGGUGGAGCGGUGAAAUGCGUAGAUAUCAGGAGGAACGCCGGUGGCGAAAGCGACUCUCUGGUCCGCAACUGACGCUGAGGCGCGAAAGCUAGGGGAGCAAACGGGAUUAGAUACCCCGGUAGUCCUAGCCCUAAACUAUGAGCACUAGGUAGCGGCAGGGUCCGACUUGUCGCUGCUGAAGCAAAUGUAUUAAGUGCUCCGCCUGGGGAGUAUGGCCGCAAGGCUAAAACUCAAAGGAAUUGACGGA
rnacentral:rRNA from 1 species